rnacentral:rRNA from 1 species
AAAUUGAAGAGUUUGAUCAUGGCUCAGAUUGAACGCUGGCGGCAGGCCUAACACAUGCAAGUCGAGCGGUAGCACAGAGAGCUUGCUCUCGGGUGACGAGCGGCGGACGGGUGAGUAAUGUCUGGGAAACUGCCUGAUGGAGGGGGAUAACUACUGGAAACGGUAGCUAAUACCGCAUAACGUCGCAAGACCAAAGUGGGGGACCUUCGGGCCUCAUGCCAUCAGAUGUGCCCAGAUGGGAUUAGCUAGUAGGUGGGGUAAUGGCUCACCUAGGCGACGAUCCCUAGCUGGUCUGAGAGGAUGACCAGCCACACUGGAACUGAGACACGGUCCAGACUCCUACGGGAGGCAGCAGUGGGGAAUAUUGCACAAUGGGCGCAAGCCUGAUGCAGCCAUGCCGCGUGUGUGAAGAAGGCCUUCGGGUUGUAAAGCACUUUCAGCGGGGAGGAAGGCGGUGAGGUUAAUAACCUCACCGAUUGACGUUACCCGCAGAAGAAGCACCGGCUAACUCCGUGCCAGCAGCCGCGGUAAUACGGAGGGUGCAAGCGUUAAUCGGAAUUACUGGGCGUAAAGCGCACGCAGGCGGUCUGUCAAGUCGGAUGUGAAAUCCCCGGGCUCAACCUGGGAACUGCAUUCGAAACUGGCAGGCUAGAGUCUUGUAGAGGGGGGUAGAAUUCCAAGUGUAGCGGUGAAAUGCGUAGAGAUCUGGAGGAAUACCGGUGGCGAAGGCGGCCCCCUGGACAAAGACUGACGCUCAGGUGCGAAAGCGUGGGGAGCAAACAGGAUUAGAUACCCUGGUAGUCCACGCCGUAAACGAUGUCGAUUUGGAGGUUGUGCCCUUGAGGCGUGGCUUCCGGAGCUAACGCGUUAAAUCGACCGCCUGGGGAGUACGGCCGCAAGGUUAAAACUCAAAUGAAUUGACGGGGGCCCGCACAAGCGGUGGAGCAUGUGGUUUAAUUCGAUGCAACGCGAAGAACCUUACCUGGUCUUGACAUCCACAGAACUUUCCAGAGAUGGAUUGGUGCCUUCGGGAACUGUGAGACAGGUGCUGCAUGGCUGUCGUCAGCUCGUGUUGUGAAAUGUUGGGUUAAGUCCCGCAACGAGCGCAACCCUUAUCCUUUGUUGCCAGCGGUUAGGCCGGGAACUCAAAGGAGACUGCCAGUGAUAAACUGGAGGAAGGUGGGGAUGACGUCAAGUCAUCAUGGCCCUUACGACCAGGGCUACACACGUGCUACAAUGGCAUAUACAAAGAGAAGCGACCUCGCGAGAGCAAGCGGACCUCAUAAAGUAUGUCGUAGUCCGGAUUGGAGUCUGCAACUCGACUCCAUGAAGUCGGAAUCGCUAGUAAUCGUAGAUCAGAAUGCUACGGUGAAUACGUUCCCGGGCCUUGUACACACCGCCCGUCACACCAUGGGAGUGGGUUGCAAAAGAAGUAGGUAGCUUAACCUUCGGGAGGGCGCUUACCACUUUGUGAUUCAUGACUGGGGUGAAGUCGUAACAAGGUAACCGUAGGGGAACCUGCGGUUGGAUCACCUCCUUACCUUAAAGAA